rnacentral:rRNA from 1 species
GAUGAACGCUAGCGGUGUGCCUAAUGCAUGCAAGUCGAACGGGAUCCUUUGGAUUCGUCUGAAGGUGAGAGUGGCGGACGGGUGAGUAACGCGUUGGUGACCUGCCCCAGAGAGGGGGACAACCAUUGGAAACGAUGGCUAAUACCCCGGAUGUCAUUGUGUUUAGAAAACAAUGACUAAACGCUCCGGCGCUCUGGGAGGGGCCUGCGUCCCAUCAGCUUGUUGGUAAGGUAAUGGCUUACCAAGGCUAAGACGGGUAGGGGGCGUGAGAGCGUGACCCCCCACACUGGUACUGAAACACGGACCAGAUACCUACGGGUAGCAGCAGCAAGGAAUAUUGCCCAAUGGACGAAAGUCUGAGGCAGCAACACCGCGUGGAGGACGAAGGCCUUCGGGUUGUAAACUCCUUUUCUGGGGGAAGAGAACGGA